rnacentral:rRNA from 1 species
GUGGGGAAUCUUGCGCAAUGGGCGAAAGCCUGACGCAGCCAUGCCGCGUGAAUGAUGAAGGUCUUAGGAUUGUAAAAUUCUUUCACCGGGGACGAUAAUGACGGUACCCGGAGAAGAAGCUCCGGCUAACUUCGUGCCAGCAGCCGCGGUAAUACGAAGGGGGCUAGCGUUGCUCGGAAUUACUGGGCGUAAAGGGCGCGUAGGCGGACAGCUUAGUCAGAGGUGAAAGCCCAGGGCUCAACCUUGGAAUUGCCUUUGAUACUGGCUGUCUUGAGUUUGGGAGAGGUGAGUGGAACUCCGAGUGUAGAGGUGAAAUUCGUAGAUAUUCGGAAGAACACCAGUGGCGAAGGCGACUCACUGGCCCAAUACUGACGCUGAGGCGCGAAAGCGUGGGAGCAAACAGGAUUAGAUACCUUUGUAGUCC